GGGAUUUUCAUGUUUACACUUUAGGACAGCAGAAGGACUGCCUGUCCUGAAAUUUGCAUUUCCAAGUUCACCAAGGUGUGGUUGUAUGGGGGUCACCACAUCAGGACAAUGGCAUGCAUCUCACUUCCAUCAAAUAAUGAGCUUUCUUUUGUAUAAUUAAAAAAAUCAGCAAAAUUAUAUUUUGCAUGCAUAUUAUUUGUUAUAUAGUGAACACCGCUGUAAAAAAAUCCAUAUUUAUAUUUGGUAUUCAUUUUUUAAAAAUGACCUUAUAUGGAGUAUGGGCAAUUUAAGGGAUAUUCAAGAGUAAUUUCGCCUAUACCUGAUUACUCCCAUAGGGUCCAACUUUAGAUCCUAACAUCUGCAUAAGCUACAACCCUUCUGCCACCCAAAUUUCACUGGCUUUUGCUCUCACUUUAUAUCCUAGGACCCCUUUCAACUUCCCCAGGUAUUUCUGGGAGAGCCCAGAGAUGUCACACAUGAACUCUCACGGCCUAUGAAUGAAGAACCUUCUGCUGGAGUGAGGGGCUGCGGAGGGAGGGAGGACGAAAAAUGAGGAUGGGAACGCGACCUAUACCUGCAACCUCUAAGAAGUUGUGAACAGUUGUGCCAAGGGGGCGGUGUCCCCUCCCACUGCGCAUCUUCCGCUGCGCAGGUGCUACUGCGCAUCUUCUAGUGCGCAUGUGCCACGGACGCUUUCUGAGCCCGCGUUUUCCAGAGCCCGCGUUUUCCAGAGCCCGCGUUCCCGUGAACCCAAGUCUAGCUUCAGGCCGGGGUCUCUUCCUAGGCCUCCUACCUGAGUCUGUGAUGCAGGUUUGAGCAUCAGUAUCUGAGACUGACACCAUCUGUCCGCGAUUCUAAGACGCCUCCAGCCCUCACAAGAGCAGCUCUCCUCUGCAAGCUGCCUGAGAAAAAAAGGAAGGAAAAAACCUGAAACCAAGAACUCAUCCAGCCGCCAGUACCUACCAUCAUCCCCAAACAGAAGUUUUUCAGGGCUCAGGUCUGGCUGCCCUGCAUUCCAGGCUUUUCCAGGCUUUUCCCACCUGGCUUCCCCACCCCAGGCGAUGCUGGCCCCUGAAGAGAAAAUCCCAAGGAAGCAUGCCAGAGGUCCCUGAACUUGAGUCUUCAACAGCCCAUCGGGGUUCUGGUACAAACGCCAACCCAUGAAAUAAUCUCAUCUCU
rnacentral:lncRNA from 1 species